UACGGAGGGUGCAAGCGUUAUCCGGAAUUACUGGGUUUAAAGGGUGCGUAGGCGGCUUCAUAAGUCAGGGGAGAAAGCCUAUCGCUUAACGAUAGAAUUGCCUUUGAGACUGUAAAGCUUGAAAGGGGUUGAGGUCAGCAGAAUGUGGCAUGUAGCGGUGAAAUGCAUAGAUAUGCCAUAGCACAUCGAUUGCGAAUGCCGCUGGCUGGGCCUACUUUGACGCUGAGGCACGCAACUGUGGGGAGCGAUCAGG
rnacentral:rRNA from 1 species